CUCUCAGUAGGGAGGUCAAAGAACAACAAUUGCCUCUCAGUCUCCUUGAGAAUCACCAUCAUCCUCUCCCAAGAAGAAAAGCAAAGGUCUAUUAGAGAUGACAAAAAUGAGACCAGAGACAGAGAGCAAGGCAAUUGGGAGUUUUUUGUUGCAGGACACCGAUCACAUCUGUACUCCUUCCACAGAUCCUGGGAAGAAGAUGCUAAUGUGGGUACCUGUUUUAUAGAGCUGGUCAACCUACUCUUCUAGACUAAUUUCAUGAAGUUUUGAUACUAUCUGAGAAGCAGGCAGCCUCCUGGAAGAUGGAAAACCUCCAAUUUUCACCAGCCUUUGAAUCCUAAGUGGUCUCAUAUCCAACAUGGGCCAGUAUUCCUUGGAUGUUUUAAGAAUUAUUCACUGGACAUUUGUAAAGCUGAACCCUGCCAAAUACACCAGAGGUGUCAAACAUGCAGCCGUUGGCUGAAUGUAGCCCUCAACAUUUUCAAGUAUGGCCAGAACUGAAUUAAAAUGUAAAUGGGAAAUAUUUAACAGCAUAAAU